rnacentral:misc_RNA from 1 species
AAGUCGUAACAAGGUUUCCGUAGGUGAACCUGCGGAAGGAUCAUUAACACGUAUCCACGUAUCAACCAACUGCGCACUUGUUUUCACCCUCUCCCUGCUGCCGCCCAUGAGCUGACGAGAUUCACCGAUGCGAUCGCUUUGGAGUUCCGCGCAAGCGGAGCCCGCGCAUCACCGAAUUUCAUCGAAGUCGAGCAAUCGAUCUUCGACAGCUGUAGGACGACUAGUCAGGCCACCCCUCGUCUGCUCUUUGCUCCCCUCUUAGCGAGGGAGCGGAGCGGAUGUUACCAUCACACCUUUCACCCCCUUUUUGCUAGUUGACUUUUAUAUGUUGUCUGCCCGACGUACUUCGGUAUGCCGAUCAGUCACACGUUUAUUAUUUGAACGUUAAAUUUACAACUCUUAGCAAUGGAUAUCUUGGUUCUC